rnacentral:rRNA from 1 species
CCCCCAGUAGCGGCGAGCGAACGGGGAGGAGCCCAGAGCCUGAAUCAGCAUGUGUGUUAGUGGAAGCGUCUGGAAAGGCGCGCGAUACAGGGUGACAGCCCCGUACACAAAAGCGCAUGUGCUGUGAGCUCGAUGAGUAGGGCGGGACACGUGGUAUCCUGUCUGAAUAUGGGGGGACCAUCCUCCAAGGCUAAAUACUCCUGACUGACCGAUAGUGAACCAGUACCGUGAGGGAAAGGCGAAAAGAACCCCGGCGAGGGGAGUGAAAAAGAACCUGAAACCGUGUACGUACAAGCAGUGGGAGCCCCACCACUAAGCCAGUGGUGAACUCCACAUACGCAUCCUUUGCUGAGGAUACGGUUAACGGAGCGAAAGCGACGUUCAACCGCAAAAGAAGCAGAGGGGGCUUAGUGGUGGGGUGACUGCGUACCUUUUGUAUAAUGGGUCAGCGACUUAUAUUCUGUAGCAAGGUUAACCGCAUAGGGGAGCCGGAGGGAAACCGAGUCUUAAUUGGGCGUUAAGUUGCAGGGUAUAGACCCGAAACCCGGUGAUCUAGCCAUGGGCAGGUUGAAGGUUGGGUAACACUAACUGGAGGACCGAACCGACUAAUGUUGAAAAAUUAGCGGAUGACCUGUGGCUGGGGGUGAAAGGCCAAUCAAACCGGGAGAUAGCUGGUUCUCCCCGAAAGCUAUUUAGGUAGCGCCUCGUGAAUUCAUCUCCGGGGGUAGAGCACUGUUUCGGCUAGGGGGCCAUCCCGGCUUACCAACCCGAUGCAAACUGCGAAUACCGGAGAAUGUUAUCACGGGAGACACACGGCGGGUGCUAACGUCCGUCGUGAAGAGGGAAACAACCCAGACCGCCAGCUAAGGUCCCAAAGUCAUGGUUAAGUGGGAAACGAUGUGGGAAGGCCCAGACAGCCAGGAUGUUGGCUUAGAAGCAGCCAUCAUUUAAAGAAAGCGUAAUAGCUCACUGGUCGAGUCGGCCUGCGCGGAAGAUGUAACGGGGCUAAACCAU